GUCAUUAUAUAUAGUUCUUUUCAUUCUAUGAGUUUUAGAAAUAGAUUCAAAUUAACAUACAAACGAAGGCAUGCACAUAGGUUGAAAUGACAGCCUCUGAAAGAACUCCAGGCAAAGAACAAAUAGCUUAUUGAAAAAAAUAAAGAAACAAUGAGUCGAUGACAAAAUAAUUAUCAUAACAGCUAUAUAAAUACAACAAACAAUUAUGACCAAGUACAUAUGAUUUUUAUCAACAACAACUGCACGAAUUAUGUACAGCGAUUUACAACAUUCAAGGUGAAUUUUCCAAACUCAACCGGCUGCACAGCACAACUAUAACUUCUAACUUCUUAGCCUGGCAUCUAAAAAGAAUUAAAUAAACCUGAAUCAGUGUCACUCUUUCUUCUUUCUUUGCUUUUAUUUUUCUAUCAGAAGAAUCAUAUAAAACUCCUAAUACCCCGCUCCCACCUUCAACGUUACUAUUUGGCAUGAUUGAUUUCUGCUUAUCUGCAAGUUCAAAAUCAAGGACCUCUCCUGUUAAUCUCUCCAUCUUUACUGCUCUUGGCAAAAACACUUCGUAGCCUAUAUGAUUGUUCUUCUAUCAGUUUAUAGGUGGAAGGAUAAUGCCAUGGCACAAAGGAAAACUGGUCACUGUAUUCCUCCACUCCUUCAACUAGUAGCUGCCAAAUUAAGGCUCCUGCACCAGCCUGCCUCUUUUUUGCUGAAUCAUAAAUUCUAUCAUACACCAUUUUCAAGAAAACAUCUGCAUCAGUGUCAUAUACUCCCUUCUUAUUUACAUGCCGUGUAGAGCCCACUUCUGUUAAAAGAACGGGUUUCCUCAGCACAAAGUCCCCAUCGCUUAUAUGAGAGUCCACCCAAAGCGAAAGAAAAUUUGCUUUUGCUUUCAAAUCAGAACUUGGGAUCCAGCUAUCUGGGUAAGUGUGAACUGAAGCAAAAUCUAUGUUUUCGACUGCCGAAUUCUGUAUAAAGUCCGAUCCAAGUAAGGCUGCCCAUUUCCCAGGAUUCACUUCUGUUUUGUUACUUGUGGUCAGGCCAUAAAAUCCCUCUACUCCAACAGUCACUAGGUGUUUUUUGUCCAAACUUUUGAUAAAAGCAGCCAUCUCAGUUAUCCAUGCCUGAAGAAAAGGAGCUGAUGAACUAGAUGCACAACGAGGUUCAUUCAUGAGCUCCCAAGCAAAAAUUGCUGGUUCAUCAGAAUAUCUAACUCCACUCAUAGAGUUCUUUCUCAUCAAAAUAGCCUUGACAUAGGCCUUAUAGUAAUCUUUAAUGGUUGGGUUUGAAAAGAAUGAAUCAUCUGAUGAAGAGACAUUAAUCCCAGCUUCUUGUGCCCACCUCACGUACUGAUCUUUUCCACCAAACGCGUUCAAAUUAUUCACUAGACUGAGGAUUAACCUUAUGCCAUGCUUCCUUGCCUCAACUAUCACAAAGUCUAACCCCUGAAAGGCCCUCUCGUUGAAGACACCAGGAGAGAGCUGCAAACCAUUAGGACCAUGGCCAUCACUGAAAGCCCAAGUCCUGCAGACAGUCAACCCCAUUUGGGAUCCUCUCUUAAGCAUCUUGGAUACCUUGGAUCUUGAAGAGGUCCACACACUUUCUUCCAUUAACCAAUAGGAGUUCCAUCCAUUAAUAUACAGCGGCGAAUAUAGAUCCUGAUCACCACCACCAUUGAUGAUGAAGAAUUGUGUGGAAUUGGUAGAGACAAAACCCAUCUUGGGUUGCCAUAGGAGGACUGGGAAGCUGAGAUUGUUAUUGAAGUUCAAGUAAAGAAGAGAGACUAACAAGAAUAUGCCUAACAGAGGAUAGAGCUUUUUCUCUCUCCAUUGGGAGUCCAUUCCUUCAUUUCUUGGGGGAGGAAAGCUCGCG
rnacentral:misc_RNA from 1 species